UACAGAGGUGGCAAGCGUUGUUCGGAAUUACUGGGCGUAAAGGGCGCGUAGGCGGCCUUGUAAGUCUUGUGUGAAAGCCCUCGGCUUAACUGAGGAUCUGCACAGGAUACUGCGAGGCUUGAGUUCGGGAGAGGAAAGCGGAAUUCCGGGUGUAGCGGUGAAAUGCGUAGAUAUCCGGAGGAACACCAGUGGCGAAGGCGGCUUUCUGGACCGACACUGACGCUGAGGCGCGAAAGCUAGGGGAGCAAACGGG
rnacentral:rRNA from 1 species